UAUUUACCAGCGGAAGACGUAGCAGACGAUGGUACUUCUUCCCUUUAAUCUUUCUGGUUAUAAGUUUCGCCCGUCUGGUGUUAUUUACAAUUUGUGGCCAGCUUAAGUAAUUGUGAAGUUGUAUUCGGGAAAAAAAGUUGUCAUGUUCUCAUUGGGGAAAAAAUCUAAUCCUGCCUCCGAAUCGAAAUCGAAUGAACCUGUUGCAGGCGUGAAAGCAAAAAACCUUGCACAAUUUGGCUUUCUAGACAUGGGGUUUCAAAAUGAUGGGAUGGUUGGUGAAGCAGAUACUGAUGAUGAUCUUGAAGCUGAACUUGCUGCCUUGACAAAAGGCACACAACCAAGUCGUGAAAAAAAAACCAGGAAAAUGAUUUCAGAGAAAGAAUUAGCUGCCUUGGUUUCUAGUAGUAUGGCUGAUAUACCAUCUGAUGCAGAAAUCUCAGACAUAGAUGAUGCAGAAGUUGAGGAUGCUCGGAGAACUUUGUGGCGAAGAAGAGGAUCGAGAACCUCCAAAGAUACAAACGCAAGCUCCCACAAUGAAUCCAGAAGAAAUUAUCAAACUGCUAAAUGAAAGGAGAGAAAUGUAUAAAGUGGCCGAAAGUAAUGCCAAUAAAAUGGGUGAUACAAUAAGAGCAAGAAGGUUUAAUAGAGGAGUAAAAUCUUUAAAUGAUAUGCUGAAGCAAACACUUUCAGGAAAAGUGAUUUCUAUGGAAGAUAUCCCUCCUCCUUUGGCAGAAUCUAAUAAAACUUUAUCAAAAGUAGUUCCGAAAGAAGACGUUACGAAUAUAGAUAAUUUAGACGUACCAGCUUCUUGAAAAAAAGGUGACAAUACCGUUCCUGUCCUUCCAAAACCUAUGGUGCCCGUGCGAGUUGUCCCUCUACCUCCAAGUACCGCACCACCCAUUCCACCCAGAGUAUCAGUGCUUAAUUCUGUAGCUGAAAUCGAUCAGCAGGAACCCAAUGAAUGCGUUUUGACUCAGCCUUCAAAAGACAUUGAAAAAGCUUUAGCGCGUAGACAGGAGUUUAAAAAUGCAGCUUUGCAAGCUAAACGCGCAGGAGAGCACGCAGCAGCAUUGCAACUUGUUCGUCUAGUCAAAGUAUGUGAUCAGAUGGUUGAUUCCGCAAAGCAAGGUCUUCCUGUAGAUUGGUCUUGCUUGCCUUCAGUUGACAUAGUGGGGAGUGAAAACAGUAUUCCGCCGAACGUCGUUGAAAAAGCUUCAAGUAAUAAGGAAAAUCCACCUAAAGUCAUUGGUCAUUACACCCAACUUGUAUGGGCCACUUCCUACACCGUAGGCUGUGAGUGGCUUAUUACCAAUCAAUAGCUGUUUUUGGUGUCAAGUUUCCGUACAAUCGAUUGUACGUGUGCAAUUACGGUCCAGCUGGAAAUUUUAUCGAUUCACCAGCCUACGAGCAAGGAACGGCUGGAUCUGCCUGUCCAUCUCCAACUUCAAACAAUAAUGGGCUGUGCGCUUGAAAAUGCAUUUCUAAUAAAUCCUACCUGCCUUUAUUCCUUUCUGAAAUGGCAGUAGUUUAUUUCCUCUAGCAGCUGUUUUUUUUUAUUUACUUUUAAUAAAUGUUGAAAACAUAACAGUAGAAUUAAUACACUUAUGUAUAACA